UACGUAGGGGGCAAGCGUUGUCCGGAUUUAUUGGGCGUAAAGCGCGUGUAGGCGGCCAGGUAGGUCUGCUGUGAAAACUCGAGGCUCAACCUCGAGACGUCGGUCAAGCAACCUCUGCGUAGAGUCCGGAAGAGGAGAGUGGAAUUCCCUGGUGUAGCGGUGAAAUGCGCAGAUAUCGGGAAGAACACCCGUGGCGAAGGCGGCUCUCUGGGACGGUACUGACGCUGAGACGCGGAAAGCGUGGGGGAGCGAACAGG
rnacentral:rRNA from 1 species